UUUUCCAUCACAUGGUACCUGCUCGACUCGCCUAGACUCUAAUCGCCUGUUUUGGUUUGUCCAUUAUGAUAAAAAAAAGUCCCAGGUACUUUAUUUUAGUAUCACCUCCGUCGAGGUUCCAAGCGAGCUGAGGCGAUACCAAAAGGUGACCUUCACCAAACCUUCCUACCUCCAACCUAAAUGUUCUGUUUUUCUGUCCGACAUCAGCGAAACAAAAAGGAUUGUAAAAGUUGCCGCGCCAAAAUCCUUCAGUAUUUAAAAUUAUAAAUGCCACAAAUGCUCUGAUUAUUUUAUGACUAUUAGUCUACUCUAAGGGCGGAAAUCUCGAUCCAUCGUUUGGCAUUAUGUGUCUAGUACUUUGGUUUAUGACCAGAUACCUGCAAAAACAAAUGGUAUUUCCAUUCUUUAGUUGUAAUUGGCAAAUGUUAGCAUUCUUAAUCUCUAAUCCAAGACAGCGGUCACGGUAAAUGUUUUACCUGCUAAAUGUUAGCAUGUUAGCAUUUAGCUCAAAGCGGUGCUGUUCUUAAGUACAGACUCAGAGCUUCUAGCAUGGAUGUAGACUCUUAAGUCUUGUUUUAUUCAUUGCUAUUUUAUUUGGGAAACAUUUAAACUACAAAUAAUUUACAUUAAAGCUGCAGUGGGUAGAAAGCGGAAGGAAAAAAACGCCAGAAUUUCAAGACCUCUUCCUGCAGUUUUCCUGCUCCCCUCUCUAUGUGCAUGUGUAGAAUAGCCAAUAGGAACGCCCUCUCUCUGAAAUGACCUGUGAUUGGCCGAUGUCCCAUGACAUGGGCUAGAUUUAAAAAACAGAGCCAAGAGGGAAUGCAGAAGUCUAGUUUAAACAAUAUGCUGAAAGAUUAUUAUGGAGUUUUUGCCCAACAACGCCAAAAAAUAAAUUGCCUGCCGGUGCAAAAACAAGGAAAACUGUCUGCUCUGUUGACAUGUUCUCUUAAAUAACUUGUUUGUGCCCCUUAAGAACAAAUGUGCCCUUAUGAAUGGUUCUUUCCUGAGGCGUAAUAUCCUCAAAGUGCCGUUUCUCUGUGACUUUUAAUGUUUGGAAAAUGUAACCGUAGCCGUUACUGUGCACAGUGACCUUGAACCUCGUGUUUUUGUGUUUUUUUGACAUUCCUGGAGAGAAGGAAAUGGUUUGUGGUGUUGGAUUUUAUUUUAUUUUUUUUACUCAAGUACAAUCUGUUUCAAACCACAACGACCAAUCAGGACUGCACAGUUUUUCUUCACCACCUCUGAACACACUGCUUCCUCCGCCUGCUCAGGGGAGUUUCCUUUGCUAAUUAUAUUCACCAAAUUAUGUUCCACAAACUCUUAAAUAGUAUUUUACCUCUCAAAAUAAAAUCAGGGAGUAUUAAGGUCUUGGAAAAGGUCUGGAUAGUCUUCAAUAUCUAAAUACAAACCCUAAAAUGGCCUUUUAAUAAAAUCUAAAGUGUUCUGAUCUUUUUUGUUUUUAUUUCUUAAAUUGGUUUAAUAUUGAAUUUGUAAAAUACUGUUAAGUCUAAAUGUAAGCCUGAUGAGACCCACAAACCAUCUGGUAAAAGUUUUUAAAAGAAAAUUGAGAGAAUCUGUCUUUUCAACGAGUGUAUCUGAGUUGGAGCAACUGUACUUUUAUUGUAUGAGAUUUCAGAGACUUUUAAAUGUUGAUCUGUUUCCAUUUUUCAAGACACUUAGAAUAAACUGAGUACCUUUACCUCUUUAAAAAAUAUCAGCUUUUAACUGUUUCCCUAACUGGCCUGAUUGUAGUUGCAUUUAUUUUGAAUAUUCAUGCUCCCCCAGAGGAUGAACCCUUAUGUUUUUGGUGACUCCAUGACUUCCUUUAGCACCACACUCCGGACAAACAUUUUUAGCUGCUCCAUUGGUAGGACUGUGAAUUACCAUCCUAAGGACCACUAUCAGGUCUUAAGAUAAUCACUCUUUUUUUCUAGGCUGUUUUUUAUUUAGCUAUGCUAGCAACGUAGCUCUGGGGAAGGCAACAUUGGUCGCUCGGUCUGUCGGUCCACCACUUUGGUCCAGACUGAAAUAUCUUAACAACUACGAGAUGGAUUGCUGUGAGAUUGUGAACGGACAUUCAUGUUCCUCAGAGGAUGAUUCCCUCUGACUCUAGGAAUCCUCUGACUUUUCCUCUCGCGCCACCAUGAGGGUUCACAUUUGUGUGUUUGGAGUGAAAUGUCUCAACAACUGUUGGAUGAAUUGUGAUGUUUGGUUCAGAGUUUACAUACAUACAUUUUUAAUGAUUAAACCGACGGCUCUUGUCUUUUUGUCUUGUGA